UCUAAUCGGAUCUUAUGCGCCAACUGCGAGUUUUCGCCCCUCUUGUUCCUUUUAUUAAUGCCAGUCCCAGAAUGCGGCCAAUAAUGUGGCUGCGGGGCGGGGAGGAGUGCAGGCUGCAGACCCUGGGAGGCUGAGAGUCUGGCGGCUCGCCGAGGAGAGAAGACAGAGGCAGAGAUGGGCUCACACCUCUGAAUCACUGCUCACUUUCCACUCAGGUGCACCGGAAAGCGGAGACAAGCGGACUUUUCCCUCAAGCUUUUUCAUUUAUUCCGCUGCUAAUUUAAGACAAUCAGCCACCAGAGCGCUGGAAAGAGGACCUUUAGUUGCAUUCCGACGCUCAGCACACCCCUCGUCUCACCUGCGCGGCUCGUGGAGAGGUCCGCCGUCAUCACAAUGCAUCCGGAGAAGUGCUGCUUACCUGAGCUGGUGGCCGAGAAAAACAGCAUGGAUCCGUCGUUCGUUCAUGCGGUGCGGCUGCUUGCAGACGAGAUUGAGAAGUAUGAUGCUGACGAAGUGAAAAAAGACGGCGACACAAAGAAAUACCUGGAUAUCAUCAGCAAUAAAAAUAUCAAGCUCUCUGAGAGAGUUCUUAUUCCAAUCCAACAGUAUCCAAAGUUUAACUUUGUAGGGAAGCUGUUGGGACCGCGGGGGAAUUCCAUGAAAAGAUUACAAGAGGAGACAGGAGUGAAGAUGUCCAUCCUUGGCAAGGGGUCCAUGAGGGAUAAAGAGAAGGAAGAAGAAUUACGGAAGAGCGGGGAGGCCAAAUACGCCCAUCUGAGUAACGAUCUACACGUUUUAAUUGAAGUCUUUGCUCCACCAGGAGAGGCCUAUUCCCGAAUGAGUCACGCCUUGGAGGAAAUUAAAAAAUUCCUUGUUCCAGACUACAAUGAUGAGAUCAGACAAGAGCAGCUGAGAGAGUUGUCCCUUUUGAACGGCUCCGAUGAGUCGAGCCGAGGGAGGAGCGUACCGGGGAGGAGUGUACGGGCAGCAACCGCAAUAUCCACAAGAGGCCAUAGAGGUGCAGGAAGGAGUGCCGCAGCUCCUCGGGGGACAGCUACAGCGGCACACAGCAAACUUCCCACAGCCGCUUUAACGAGGGACGUGCAGGCUCCGAGGGCCAGGGGGGCAGCAGCCAACGCCGGAUACAGGCCCCCACUGUUAGCAGUCACGCAUGAAUCAUACGACGACUACGGUUACGAUGACAGAUACGAUGGUGAAUACGACGAAGAUGGUUACGAAGCCUACGACGAGGACUACAACAGUCAGUCAAAGAGCAUUUCAGAGUAUUAUGAAUACGGACACAGCACCAGUGAUGAAUCCUACAACAACUAUGAGGAAGAAUGGACGAGCAUCCGAGUCGGGCUGAAAGCUCCUGCUCUACGGCUGACAAGAGGCGGCUACAGAAAACAUCCGUAUGGUAGAUACUGAAGAUACUGAAACACACUACUGUGUGUUUGGUCAAAGCAGAGAACACAGCAGGCGGAGAAAAGGUCAGGCUUCAUGAAAAUCAAAUCAAACAUGAUGGGAAAACCUGAAGAGUGACCCACAGGAAGUAGAAGUCAGCCAGAGGAGAAGUGGACAGAAAACAGCAUUAUUCAUGAUAUGCUGACAUAUUGCCUCUUAUUGGCUAACAGCAACGUAACUCUUCUACUGACUGUUCGUUCUGCAACGUUGAUGUUUUAUCUCCACAAGUAAUACAAGCCUGAAGGAGUUCUGCUGUGUGAUGGAGUUGUUAAUGCUAACAGUUAGCUUCUACUAACCAAGGAGCACUUUCCUCUCUCCUGGCUGCAAAAAUCAACACAGCCUUCCCGAUUGUGAGACAACCUGGGUGAGUCAAUGAAUGCUAAUUUUCAGUGUGACACAGAUUUUUGUGGUUUUUUCUGACCCGAGCGUUUGCUUUCUUUUGACGGUGAGUGUAGGAAAUAGCUCGCAUGUGACUCUGAAACCAAUCGUAUAUUUAAACUAACAAGUAAAAAAAACGGUGUUCUCCUGCUUUUUAAACCAUUCUAAAUGUGUCUUUUUUUAAAAGCAGAAAGGAGAUAAGUUACUGAAUGACAUACAUUUCUUUGGAAGAUAUGAAAUGCCCUAAAUAAAAAGAAAUGUUAAUAUAUUGUCCUUUCUGCCCGAGUGCGUUUUCCUCCUACAGUCCAAAAAUAUGCAUUCUGGUUUAACUGCAGAUUCUAAAUUGAUGGUGAAUGUCAGCAUGCAUGAUUGCUUUUCUCUCGUGUCUCUGUGUUGGUCAUGUGGCGGUCCGUCCACGCUGUCCCUCGCCUGGCGCCUGGUGGGAGCCGCAGCGCAUGCAGUCAAGAGCAGGAUAUGAAAUGUAAAAUGAUUGAAUGGACCGAAUGAAAGCUCAGACGCAGCCUCUGACUGAGAACUGUGGAAACGGCUUCUUCUCACUGAUUAGCAGCUUGUCAGCGACAAUGGAGACCUGCCCUACUUUACUCUGCGUUGUUAUCUGUUUGACAGACCAGUGAGAAUUAAACAUUAUUUUUUUUACAAUGUAGAACUGCUUUCAUAUUUUACCUGCAUCCAAAGGGAUGCAAACAUCACACAUUAUAAAAGAGGAUGCAGUGCUGGAGAUGGAUUUAGAUCUUAAGCUGUUAAAGUGCUUAAAGAGACAAUGUGCAGUUUUCACCACUAAUCUUUGGAAAUAUUCAUCGAAAUGUUGUUGAAAAUUAAUUAAAUGAUGCCCAGGUGUUAAAAAAAUUGGCGGCUUCAUAACCAUAAAAAUCUGGUCUAAAAUGCAUGGGAGCGGGUCUAAGUCUAACAUAUUAGACACCAUGGCUGUUUCUCAAUGUCAAGGCAUCUGGCCUGGCGAGACGAUGUCUUGCCAGGCCAGGCGCCUUACUUACGAGGACACUGUCCGUCGUUGGUCAAAGAAAAUGGUUAAAUGGAACAGACUUGCAUCAUGUGACAGCAGCUUCCACGGCGGUCACGUAACGUCAUGGGACACAGGAGAUAACGUUAUAUUUUAUACGUGUUAGUUUCAAUAUAAAUAUAUAACAAGCCUUUUACUUUUUCAAUUGUGUGCAUGUUUAUUAAAUUAAAAAUAUAUGUGAUUUACUACCCGCUAGCCACCGAAGCUGCAACUAAUAAGCAACUCACCAACAAUAGAUAACUUCUUUGGAUCUAUAAAAUAACAAUUUUUAAUUAGUUGGUUUACUUUUAAACUUGAAAAUUGUCACCGAAGUAGCUGCCGGUGUCGGUACAGGAUCUGCUCGGGUGCAGGAUCGGCUCGGGGUCCUUCGACUGCCGGUGACAUCACAUCACUGCAAAUCUACUCGGCUUUCACACACACGUUUUGGAAAGACCUCAGCAGUUUUGUUAAUAAAUUCUUGUUUGUUACCACCUAAAUGCUUCCUUUAUAAUUGUAAUUUGUUAAUAAAACACCAUAUUAUCUUUGUUUUGUAAAGACUGAAACUGCGUAAAACCAACAUCGGACUGACAAAAAAUAGAACAGUUCUUAUAUGUGAAGCCUUAUCUGUUUGUAUUAAUGUGGAGCUCGUCUGUACAUUUCCUCAGUUGUUAUCUAAAUACAUUCUUUGACUCAAAAUAUUGCUUGGUGUCUUUCAAUAAAGUUCUUAUAUUUUAUUUUGCCCCAUUUCAUCAACAUCAAGAGCUUUUGAGGGUCACCGUUUAUCAUUUGCUUAUAUUUUACAUUUCCUUUAGAAAUUCAAACAUAUUUUCUCCAAAAACUAUUGAUUUUUGGACUACAGGACUACAACCGCUAAGACUACGACCGCAAAUUUGUUCUGACCAAUCAAAAUCAUAACGUGAUAACGUAACUUCCGUAAGCUUCAUGCUCAGCCGAUCAACUACUUCGACAUCAUCGGCAGUCGAAGGACCCCGAGCGGAUCCUGCACCCGAGCAGAUCCUGUACAGACACCGGCUUCUGAUCCGCCGUCCUUUUGAAAAUACCGCAGUGUAUUCUGGGUAAUUUUUGACCAAGGCUAGGCUACAAGACACAUCCCGUGUAUCCUCGCUCAGCUAGCUAAACGGCUAACAAACGGAGAACACACGCCUCGGUAGCACAUGAACAUUGGAACAUGCCUUGGCGGCUCCCGAUGACGUAUCUCCUAGGCAACCAAGGCAGGGCCAAGACAUCAAAGCAAGGUUCCUUGGCAUUAAGAAACACCCCAUGUUUCCUUCUACGGGAGCUCAUGAGGACAAAAUGGAUUUACUGAUUUGUAACAAGCAUUAAGUAAACUUUCACCAUUCAUAAACAUUGUUUAACCAUUUACCUCUUCACUCGUUGCCAGUAAUGCAAGGGAGUCUGAUGUGCUUGUCAUUUUGCUGGAGGUUGAGCUCCCUGCAAUUUUCUACCCUAAUGGCCAUCCGUUGGCAAGGUCUUAAACACAAAAAUACUGCUAGAAGUUAAAUUAUGAAGCUAAAUGUGUUCUUGUAGAAAUGCAACAUUUUUUGCUAAUUCUACAAUGUCCUACACUUAUUUAUAAUCUGUGUGGUUGAUUAAAGCGGAGGCUCACCAAGAAACCAGCAAGAGUUCAUCAUGCCGACUGAAAUUGAAAAUAGUCUUCUACCCCUAUUUCCUGCAUUGGCCACCACUCACCCAUCUUGGCUUGUGAUGGGGAAGGCUGUUGUUGAUAGUAGAAGCUAACCGUUAGCCUUAGCAACUCCACAACAUGGCAGAACUCCUUCAGGCUAUUGUUAUUUAUAAAGAAAAAACAUCAGCAUUGCAUUUUUUACCCAAGAAAGAAGAGUGAAUAGAGGCAGUGGAAGAGCUGCGUUGCUGUCAGCCAACCAGAGAAGAGAUGUUUGCAUGUCAUGAAUAAUAAUGAGUAAGACUCAUGAUUCUGCCGUUUCCUGAUCCCCACUUUUCUGAGUAAAUUCUGGUUCCUGGAACAUAAGUGCCUGGGCAUUUUUUCUACAGAAAACAACUCACAAGGCAUCCAUUUAUACUAAAGACCACAGCAGAGUGUAUGCCUACUUUAAAGGGAUUCUAUUAUAUUUGGCACCCCUAGUGUCCGUUAGUGAAAGCAAAAGUGAAGUUUCUCCUCGCUGUGUGUUCGUCUUCUUAACACCUUAAUCUAAAUGCUGAAAUGUCUCCCAACCUUCCUUAAUGUCUAAAAUAUGCAGGAAACAUGUGGGAAGCAGACUGCAGCGCUGGCAUGUCAGUUCUACUUUAAUAAGUCCAAUAGGAACUCUGAAGUUGCAAGUGCGGUAUUCUGACCACAGAAGGCGAUAGGGGUCUGAGUGAUAUUUCAUUAACCCAGUAAAGUAUGGAACUAGGAUUGGGACAAUAUUACAUUUAACUUGUUCCUAGUUUUGUGACGUGAAUGUGACUUUUGUUUAGUAGCAUGUAAUUCACGUUUUGUAACACGUAACUUUCAUUUUGUAACAGGUAAAUUUGUUUUGUUGUAUGUAUUUCUCAUUUUGUAACAUCUAACUUCAGUACGUAACAUGAAACUUUUAUUUAGUAACUUGCAGAAAAAAAUCAAUGUACAACUUUCAAAACACAAAUCUCAGUAUACAGUAACAAAACUCAAGUCUACAAGUACAAAACAUUUUGUCCUAAUUCUAGCUUGCUUCCAACAGGAAUUGUCCAGGACAGGAAUCCAAGACUCAUGAUUGGCUGGUCAGACAAAGCCUGUCAUUGUUUCAUUGGGAAGGAAGCUCGAAUUGGGACAAAAUAUUUUGUACUUGUAGACUUGAGUUUUGUAACUGCAGACUAAGUUUUGUAACUGUAAACCGAGAUGUGUGUUUUGAAAGUUGUGAUUUGAAACUUGUACAUUGUUUUAUGCAAGUUACAAAAUGAAGGUUUAAUGUUAUGUGUCAAAUGUUACGCGUUACGAAACGAAAGUUAUGUGUUACAAAACAAGAAUUACAUGCUACAAAAAGAAAGUUACAGUUACAAAACAUGUUACAGGUUACAAAGCUUGGUACAAGUUACAUCUAUUGUCCCAAUCCUAGUUCCAUAGUAAACGGUCAUUUAGCACAUACUGGUUCAAGAAAAUGAUUUAAAAAUAUGAUUAUUAUUGCAAAGUAUCUCUAAUGCUUCUUGACUUCACUGGAAGGUACAACUUCUACCUAAGUGUUGUUCAUCUGUGGAUUGAGUAAGCUAAAUUUGUAUACAGCACCCCCAAAAUGUGUGAAAAUACCUUCAAUUUUUACACAUUUGUAUUCACUCUUGUUUUAAGUUAUUCGGUCAACUGAAUCAUGGAGAGCAUUAUGCAUAUUGGCCGUUUUUGCCAUACACAACAGCUUGGAGUUGUUGAAGGUCAACCAGCUUGGCGAUGUAGGUCACUCAACCUGUCCAAGAGCUACCAAUCAGAAGCCCAUUGGGUGCCAGUCAAAUACUUGUGACUGGCACACACCUGGAAGCACCUGGAGCUGAAAACAGGAAGCAGGAGAUUUUGACACAUCCUUAGUGGUUCUACCCACACAUUUUACUCUGUCGUUUAUUUUAUAAAUGCACGAUUCUUACAAGUUAUAAAUAAUUGAAAAGGAGACUAAUCAAGCUUUCCAACCAUAUUAGAUUCACUUUCAUAAAAUUAUUCUGCAGCAAAGAAAUAAUCAACCAAACCCAAAAUGGGCCAACUAUUCAGUGCACAUGAUUCUGUCUAACCAAGUUAGUUUCUGACAAUGAAACAAGAAUAUGCAUGGUUGAAACUAGACGUUGCACAGCUUGAGCCGGCACAAACAUAUUUUGUGGUCAUGUAAUGACACCAUCUGCUUGUGGGUUCAGACUGGCUGUGUGAGAGAGUGAGACAUCCUCGGAUGGGCAACACUCGCCAAAUUCUGCCAGCAACUGUGAACAAAUAGACCAUCCCUGCCAAGUCCCGUGCUGAGUUUUCCAUUUUCUUUAAUAAUCACACCUAUUUGUUCUCUACAGGGCAAAUAAAAGCUCAUUUGGAAAGAGGUCUAGGUGAGCGUAAGGAGGUCUAACUAUCCGUUUCAAGGACGGGUUUAUAGUGCGGAGCUAAAAGCUGCUUCUCCAUACAAAAUGUCACCCCGGAUGUCGGGCGCUUGUUGACAGAUUAUAACUGGGGGAUUCACAAAGAGACAGCCAGUGGAUCGAGGGGAUUUACCAAACUGCAUUUGAUGCACAACCAGCCAAAAUGUCAGACUGGGUGCAUAAACAGCAACAAACCAAGGACACGGGUGUCAUUUGUCAUAUGAAUCAGAAUCUAUUGAGAAAGAUGGCUGCACGCUUUUUAAAUGAAUAGUGAUGCACAUUAUUGCAUUUAGACUGAAAGAAAGAUUGAUGUUUUAGAAAAUGAGCUCCCUUUUUCUCAAGGGUUGGAUAAGAGAAUUAAUAACAGCAAAUGGUAACUUAAACAGGAAAUAGCAAUAUAAUAUGAAUCUGUUCUAAAACUUUAGAGUUUUUUUUCUCUUUUACUUUUCAUUCAAGCAAUCAUUUGUGUUAUUUAUGAGCUCCGUGUGCUGCUGAUUGUUUUAUGUGAGGAUGGAAGAAAAUCAGCUUAAAAGCUCAAAUCUGAGCUCGGUAUCAGUCUUAAAUCUCAGGAAAAAGAGCAAAUAAUUACCUUUCCCAGACUGACAAACAAUUAGAUAAACAUUUGCUGUUAUUAUUCAGUUUGCUGAGCUCCUCCUUUUGUUUGUCUUACAGAAACGCCAGAAAGACAACGGACUUCCCCACCUGGUGGACAAUAAAACUUUAGGCAAAAGUUCCUGAAUGUCGUUAACUGGUUUUCUACUUUUUGUUUUUAUACUUUUCAAUAAAACAAAAUUAAAACCAAUGCUUAGUUUAUCCUUGCUGAAGGUUGUUGUCAUUUAUCACAUCCAGCCUUUGCAUGCUUCCAGUACUUAUUUAUUUUUUAUUAAUAAAUGGUUCCCUGAGUGCUGUCAACAGGAACAUUUUAGUUCAUUAAGUAAGUCGAGCCUGCUGCUGGCUUCCCGACCAAAUGUCACUGACACUUUAUGAGCCAAACACGUUGGUGUUUGCUGGAAGAUCCUUCUGCUGCUGCUCACAGCUCACCUCUAGACACUUUCUUACUGGAAGCUGUAACGAAUGGUGCUGUCUCCGGCUCUAAAUUUGGCACAGGAUGAUUAACAGUAGACACAAGCAAAUGCAGACCUCCCACUGUUCAAAAUACAAUUUAGAAAAUGCUUGUGACUCUUCUGCUUUUCUGAGUUUGUUUGCUCCAACAUGUUUAACACAACAGUGACUCUAUGGUCCAGAAAAGCAGGAAGGCAACAACAUGUCGGAGGUGAACAGCUUGCAGGACUAAUGAGUCAUUUCUGAUGCAGGAGAUCAUCCAUUUCUUAUUGUUUUGGUUGGAAGGGGAUUUUAAGCAUCCAAACAAAGCCCCCACCCCCUCACUUUGAUAUGUGUUUAAUUCAUUGCCCCAUCACACACUCAGGCUCCACACAGCCUGUCAGGCAGCAUGGCAUUUAUCUCCCUUGAUAUCACUUGAUCUAAAUAUUGGGAACACAAAGACACCAAAGUGGGUCAGGAUUUAGGCGAAUACCCAGAAACAUACAAGGAUGCAAAUCAGUGUGUAGUAUUAACUAACACACAGCACUUUCCCAAGUCAAGGACAAGUACCUGAGCAAACUCAGCUCUGUUUGGACAGCUGCUCGAUGAGCCAGAAUGGAGAAUGAGGACUUAUGAUCAUCACAAGUCUGAGUAGGCCUCUUCAGCAGUGUGGCACAUGGUGUGUGUAGGGUCCCUGUAGUGUUUUUUAUUAUCAUUACUAUUAUUUUGUGACAGGAAACUGACAUCUAAUCCAGUUGACAGUGAAGGUUUUUGUAGCUUGAGUUGCAUUUUUCUAAGAAGAUGCAAGCCACUGUUGACAGGUUUAUUUGUCAAAUUUAAGCUCAACUUCGUUUUUGUUUGAUUUGUUUGUUGUUUUUGUUUAGCAACAAAAAAAGCUUGCCUAGGAGCCUCAUUAGAGCUACUUUACAGACGUGAUGAGUUCUGGCACACUUUGGGCAGUUCACUAAGAAGCGAAAUCGCACAAACUAUGUUUACGACUAAGUCCAGUGGGCUCAGGACACAAAUUGUCCUCUAAAACGCGGUGCUUGUGGGAUGCACAAUGUGUCUUGUAGAAAAGUAGGUUGCCAUUUGUAACAGGAUUAUGAAUCCUGUUUUAAAAGCACCCCCAUUAGGUACAACAUUUCUCUAGAAAAGACGAGAUAUUAUUAUCGUUUUAAAGUGGCUGGCUUACAGAGCCAAAGUGUGACUCUCACAUUCGAGGAAAACCAGUUCCCUUUGAACAAUGAUUUCAAACAAACAGCCUCCUCAAAAUUUGAGUGUGAUCAUGCAUAAUGCAGAUAAUCUGCUCAGCAGUGCUCUGUAUUUAGAUUACAAAUAGACAUUUAUGAAUAAAGAUGAUAUUUUAUUGGCAAAUGUGGGGCCGGAGCCCACAGAGGGAUAGCUAAAGAAGAUGGUGUGUUUUUGUGCCAAAAUAAUAUGCUAAUGGUGGCUCAGAAUCCAAAUCUUGUGGAUUUGCUGUGUAGAAGUUAACAGGAUCAGACACAACACCUGGUCCGUUUAUUGUUUUGUUGAUGUUUAAAGUUGCUAGUGUUCGUUCGUGGGGGGGAACGUUCAAGCUAGCUAUAUAUAAAAAAUAAAAAAAGGACAUUCAGAAAUCUAACCCCUUUCUUCAAGCUUCCCAUCGAGUCACAGAAACUGAUGGUUGCAGAAAAUGGCAUAACACCUGCUUGCAACACACACCUUCACGAGAAAAUAAACAGUUCUGCAGAAAUGCUGUUAAGGUCAAAAUUUACAGAACCAACACUGAAACAAACCUCCUCCCACUCUCUUCGUGAUUACCACCUUAAAGGGGAACAAAGUAGUGUCCAUUUGUACAACCGAAAGCAAAAUCUAUCUCCUCGCUGUGCGAUCGUCUUCUUAACACCUUCAUCUAACACAGGGGUUUCCAAUCCUGGUCCUGGAGGGCCGGUAUCCAGCAGGUUUUAGUUUUAACCCUUCUUCAACACACCUGAAUUCAAUCAGCAGGUAAUUAACAGGCAUCUGUAGAGCCUGAUGAACUGCUGCACAGGUGAUUCAACCACUGAAUCAAAUGUGUUGGAGCAGAGAAACCACAAAAUCUGCUAGAUACCGGCCCUCCAGGCCCAGGAUUGGGCACCCCUGAUCUAACAGCUGACAUGUCUCCCCAGCCUUCCUCAGUGUCUAUGAGUGAUUCAUCACCAGAUUAAACAAAUCAGCUGUGUUCAUGAUCUAAAACAUGCAGGAAAUGUGCUGGAAGCAGACUGCAUCACCAGGUAUGUCAGCUCUAUUUUUUUAAGUCCCAAGUGAAAUAUGAAAUCGAAAUAUUCUGGCUGCAGGGGGCGACAGGGGCUGGGUGGCCUUUCAUUAACCCUGUUAAGAGUCAUUUUAGCACAGACUGGCUCAAGAAAAUUAUUUAAAAAAUAUGAAAGAGUUGCAAAGUAUCUCUUUAAUAAAGCAUGUGGUGUUUUUAUGGUGAAGACGUUCACACGAGCAGUUUAAUUGUUGGGUUGCGGUCCAACCAUUUAGAAGGAGGGCACGCACUGGAUUGGAUGAGGUUUUUCCAAGAUUGUACAUUUUAGAAGAGGUUAAAAUAAGAAAUAAAAAACAUGUAAUUCAUUAGUUGACAUCUGUAUUUGAAGAAUCUAAAAGAUUUUUAAAAAAUCAUUUAAAAAAUUUCUGACGGCACCUUUAAGCUCUUUCACCUAGAUUGAACUUUCCUUGCAAUUUAAAACAACAGAAUCAAACUAAAUCCAUUAGGAUUUGACUUGUUUUACUUUGUUUUUGUAAUAGAUCAAAAGCAACUGUUUUAAAAAAAAUUAGGAAAAGAACAUUUUUGAUCAGUGGCAUGGUGUGCAUCUCAUCCCUGACUUUUUUUUUCUAUUAAAACACCAUUCAACAUUUGGGAGGAAAACAGAAUUUUUGAAGAUCUUCCAACUGAUAAGUGAGAAGCUUUAAUCAAUUUUUAAACAACAUGAGAGAGAAAACAAAGAUGCUGGUGUAGGAAUUUUAAAGUAUGAAGAUAAAAUGUGAUGUUUUGGCUUCCUUUCAGCUGGAUAUGAGCUCCAGCUUCACCGCCUCCGAUGCUCCUUAUUAGGUGGAGAAUCUCGCGUUCUGUGUUGUUUUCCCUCAUUUAUGGCGUCUUGUUAUACCAUCCAACCAGUUGGUCUUCUGUCAACCCCAAUGCAAAUUAGAUUUACAGUUUUCUCAGGAAAGGUGUUCCAGUAGAGUACUACAAGUCCAAUUAGCUCAGAAGAUGAAGACAAAGCACUGGCAGUGUCUCGCCUGUUUUUCAGUUCAUUUAUGGGCUUGCUGUCAAAGCUAAACGUCCCGUCUGACAAAUGCAUUUAUCAAGCAAGACGGCCAUGCAGAUGACAACAUUUAAAAUCUCGGUUGUGAAGCAAAUUAGGUGUUUUUGCUUCGUUUUGUUUUACUAAGCAACACAAGACUGAAAAAUGCUUAAUUUGGAUAUUCCACAAUGUCACCAAACUUAAAAGGUCAAAGCGAUCAAUACACAAAAAACAGCUGACUGUUGGUUGUAUUGAUUGUUAGUCAGGGUCAGGUUGGACAAGAGUCUGAUUAUUCUUCACAGGGCUCUUUAUAGCCAAAACAAGUGAGACCAGACAGGAAUAUAGCAUCUCCACAAAGGACUGUAAGUGGUUUUCAUAAAGGCUAACAGGAAAGGAGAAAACCAGUGGUUUUCCAAAGAAAGCUCCCAGUGUUGCUCCAGAUCACUUCCAAAAUGCUAAAUUCAAAACAUAUUGUUAACGUCAUACUUUUGCCAUUCCUGCUACAUACCUCUUGUCAAAAAUGGUGAAAACUGUACAAUAGUUCCCUUUCAGUCGAUUCACUCGGUACAACGAAGGUACUAUGCGACAUCACGCCCUAGUGUGGCCUGGCUGAAGCCACAUUUAAUCACACCUGUAAAGGCAGAUGAGCGUGACGCUGGGUGGUGGCCCCACCCUCCACCUACAAGCCCCCAUCGUCACCGGCAUUUUUCAGUUCUUAUGCUCUUCAUCUCGCUGAUAACACGUGUGUACAAAUAAACUAGUGUUAGUUAUGCUAUUGAAAAGUUAGCUUAACUGCUCGCUGGUGUUGAUUCUGCUGCCUUCUGGUCAGCGUUCGCCCACCGAGCGCUACUUUUUUGUGGCUGUUUUAGCUUUCUGCCUCCAUGCUCUUUUGCCCCUGCCGCUCCGCUCUGUGUCUCGCCAUGAGCACCGUGUUGGACUCAGCUAGGCGAAAGUCUGCUUCGCGUCCCUGUCCUCAGGGCUGUGUGCAUAACCAAACGUUACUGUCAUGCUCCGUCAGCAGUGGUUGUAUCAUUUGGGCACACGUCUCUACUGCUGCUAUUUUGUGGGUCAGAGGCUGAAAAGUUUGAAAACCACUGCAACACCAACCUAACAAGAACCAUUCAUACACUUCAGGGUUUGAGGUCAGAGAGGGACUGUCACCAGAGAUAAUCACCUGUCCAAUUACGGGGUCAACACACACACACACACACACACACACACACACACACACACACACACACACACACACACACUUUAGAACAAGCAGUUUGUCAUCAAAUAGUCAAAAACAUUUGAAGACAUAAUUUCAGUUAAUCAAUUAUUAUUAACUCUUUUUUAUAGUAACACUUUUGGUGUGUUUUCUAUUGUCUGAAAGCUCAAUUAAGCAUUUGUUACUAAAAGUUAAAACUGCAGGCAUCAUGCAUCCAUGACAUGAGCAACACAUAUAAUGUGUGGUUUGUGCUCCUGGAAAAGGCAGAAAACUCCCCUGCAAUAUUCUCCACCCAUUUAGCAAGUGUUGCUCCUUCCACACGUUUAUCUAUACAAGUUUAACUUUUGUGUAAAGGUGACUAAUAUGUUUUUUUCCAGUUAUAUAAAAUAUAACAUCAAUAUUAAUGGGAAAUUUAAAAGAUAUGACUUUUUUUUCUUUAUAAUAGUUGUAUGGUCAACACAGCAUUUGUUUAUUAGGUUCUUUGCACAAAAUCCCUCCAACAUAAAGCAAUAUCAGCUGUUUUGUUGUCGACAUUUUCAGUACCUUACAGAACAAGUCGUUUCAGGGCUCUGUCACUUUAAGAAAUGAGCUGGCUACGCCCACCCAUCUGCCACUCAGGCUGCUAUAAGCCGAGAAACUCUGAUAUCCGAGAGGGGUUCAGAGUCGAGCCGCUGCGCCUUAAGCAGCAGCUCAUAAGAGGUACUUCUUUGCUAAUUUCCCUGUUGUGACAUCACAAACUGGGUCUUUUCAUAACAGCUUGUUUUAGGCACAUAAAUUCUAAAACCAAGCACCAACAGAAAAUAGAUGGACAUCUUUUUUCAUGUUUGGACUGUUUUUAGUGGCAGUAGAGACCCAAAAGCACCGAAGGACCCAAAAGGUGAGUCUUGUAUAAUACGUCCCCUUCAGCUGGGUUGAAAUUCCUAAACUUGAUUGGAGUCAAUGUGCUUCUGUUUACAAGCAGAAUAGAAUCCACCCCACCCAAAAAAAAUAUCCUCACACAGCACAGAUUUACUGUGUAUUUAUGAUCCAUGGUUUGUUGUGUUGGUUUGUGGCUGGCUUUGCACACAGCAGAUCCUAAAUGUGCCAAAAUAAAUAAAUAAACAAAGACAUUUAUGUGAGUCACUCCUGGCCUUUCCUUGUUUAUACAGACCAUACCUCCUCUCCCUUGUACACUCACACAUUGAUUUAGCUCUGCGGCUAAUUCCACAGCUCAAAAGCUCAUGAACUUUGACUUCCUAUCCAGCCUUCAAACCUACAAGCAGAAAGUCAAUACACAACAAAGACGAUCCAGUUCUGCUGCAAAUGGGCAGAGUGAAAAAGGCUGCGCACAAAUACACAACAGCUGAAAUUACAUCUGCCAAAUUUCGUAAUGUUAACAUUCGUCUGUGGGCUGUUGUUAGAAACUUUUGGCAUUUGACCUUCAUAUCUUGGUUCGCGAAUGAGUUAAUCUUACAUCAGUUGAAGCAAAACUGCUCAUGAGCUUCUGGGGUUUAGCAACUUUUCAUAAGGGAACCCAGAGGUGCAGCUACUAAAUGUUGAAAUAUAGUGUCCAGUGUGCAGGAAAACGAGCGGAGGCACUGCAUCAACGUCAGCAAUCCAGCCAAAGCCUUGAUCUAUGGUGUUUAUCCCUGAAAGUGGGAAUGAAUAUAUUUGGGUGAAGUCAUAGAGCAAAACACAUCUAUGUUGUUGCUUAAGAAGCUUUAGUUUUUUACAAUAUUUCAUUUUAAUCAUGCAAAGAAGGUUCUUUCUUUGUUUUAAAAUAAUAACUAACCAGAAAACAACCAUAUGCGAUUUGCAUCUGUUACAUCUUGACAUUCAGCCAUCAUACCCAAAUGAAAUCAUUAAAGCAAAGAACUAUUUAUUUUGAAGCUGCUGGUAGAAAUCUGCACAUGUGCAAGGCCCUCACCAAGACAUCGAGCUUCAGAUGAAUGAAAGGCUAGGGAAAACAGACGCUCUGUGUAGUGAGUGCUGCUGGAGACCCAGUGAAAAUGAAAAAUGCAUGUGAGUACGUGAAAAAUCUUAGCUCCCCAAGGGGUACCAAAGCUACGAACCACAAAAAAGAAAUUAACCAAUGCAAUAGUGAAAAAAGGGGGGGGGGGGGGGGGUCUCACCACCCCCUCUGCUCUGCUUCUCCAGAUCGUUCUAAAAAUGAUUUAUUUUUUAAUAAAUGCGCAACAGCAAGUGUGAUUCAAUCGGUGAAAUAAUUUGUGUCAUCUCAAAUAGCACAAAGGUUGGUUUGUUCUCACUGUGAUAAAUCUCCCGUUUCUGAGAAAGCACAAAAAAAAGCUUUGAAUCUCAACAGAACGCUGAUGUUUCAUUUAGGGACAUUGUUUUUGUCACUAAGCAUAAUUCAUCAUCGGUGAGGCAAAAAAAAACAAGCAAAAAAGGUCAUGUAGCACCAGCGGAAGAUUUUUAAGCAAUAAGAAAAAGAGCACAAAUAAAAGAUAAGCUAUCACACACGUUCAUCUAAAUGUUUGAAACUGGUGACAAAAGAAUCGAUGCAUUUUAACAACAUUUUAUCUGUCCUGAGGUUAAGAUGUGUUAGCGGUGAAAAUAAGAGGUGAAAAACUCUUUUGUAUCCAUCACUCUCUAGAGGGUAAUCUGCUAAAAAUCCCAUACACUCCUGGUCCAUCAAUUUGUCAACGUCAACAUGGGAAUGCAGGGAACCGCUCUGAUCCCGGGUUCCUCACAGCCACCGUCUUCUGGAUUCUUAUCUCCCGCCUGCUGUUAACUGUGUCGACUCAAGAAGAAUCAGCGCGCACCAGCUCUCUGGCUCCACCAACGCUCCCUGCAGGGCAAAAGGAUGAGCCCUUGGCUGUUUGAUUGUCAAGGCCCCGUUUCAACCCCCCGCUCAAUCCUUCCAUCCCACAGCUGCUGCUUCUACAAUUCCCUCCAUUAACAAGGAGCUCUCACUUCCCACUUUUCCUUUGAUGUGUCGCGGUUUGCUCCAGAUUUGUUUUUUAACGUGACUGACUGAAUCCACUUAAGUGCGACAAGAAAGUGAGGUGACCUUUUUUUUCCUAUUCUUGGCAGAAGCUGGAUCAAAACUCCAAAGUGUGUGAAUUCGAGUGUCACAUAAAACCACAAUUAAUUAUAGAUGAAUCAUCGGUGGAGAUAAUGUCUGGAACUGACAGAAUGAUGCAACGUCUCAAUAAAAAUGCUAAACAAAUAGGCUUUUUUGUCCUAAUGUAACCUAGUUUUGUAAAGCCUCGUGUGAAUUUACUUAACUAGUAAAAGCCGGGCUUUAAGGAGUGGUUGACUAAAGCCUGAUUUAUGCUUCUCCGUCUGCGUCAGUGCGGAGACACGCAACGCCAUUAUCCGUCCUUGCGUAGGGCUCCGGCAGGCACGCAAGUACGUACGGAGUCGAGCCCACUUUUUUAAACAUCCGUCGAACGAGACGGAUUACGCAAGCUUGUGAUUGGUCAGGACGCCGCUGUUGUUUACAGUGCCGCCAUUGCAAAGAGAGCCGAGGAUAACUAGCGGCAGACACGGAUAAACUUGAAUACCUCGCGAAAAAAACUCUAACUAUAUGAACAUUUAAUUCUCCCGUGACUGGAGAAGUGAAAGCGUUUUAUUUGUGGACGGAAAUGACAGGAAACGUGGGUUUAGAGGUGGGGAGCGCAUGAAGCGGUGGGAGAAUGAGAGACAAAUAUGUCCGUGUUAAAAGUCUCUUAUAUACACAAAAAACACAAUAUAAACACACUAUCUUGGACCGAUACAUGACAGGAUACCACAGAACAGCGCUACGCCCUCUGUUGUCCUGCCGGGCAAUUGCUUUGCAACACUCUCCAGGAGACAGAGAAAAAUGAGAGCAAAACGCUUCCGUCAAUCUGUGCAUGUCUGUUCCUUGCGGAGCUGAUGGAGAAGCAUAAACCAGGCUUAAGAUUAAAGUCCCAUCAGUUGUUACACACACUGGUGUGUGGUGAAAGCUGUUCUUCGCAUUUGACUCAUCCUCAUAGGGAGCGGUGAGCUGCAGACACAGCCGCGCUCGGGAACUAUUUGGUGGUUUAACCCCUCAGUCCAACCCCUUAAAGCGGAGUCCUUUUUUUUUUUGUAAAGU